AUGAGUGAAUGAAGGAGCUCUGUAAAAUCUUGAGUUCAAGCUGGUACGUUUCGAUCCGAAAUGAGAAGGGAGUUUAGACUUUUGAAGUAAAGUAUGCAUUCGGGAUAGAGGUGACUUUUCAAUUCGAAGAAAAAUUAUUGGCAGCUAGUGUAUAACAAAUACAAGAAUUGUAAACGAAGUUAAAUUAGACGAAUUAUAAGUCAUCGGCUCGAAACAAACUGGUCCAAUUUAAAGCUUUUCAUUUCGAACGUGAAAAGCAAAAAAGAGUUUGCAAGAAAAGCAAUUUUUGGUAGAUUGCAAGAUACUUUCAAUCAUAAGUAGAAAACUAUGAAUCCUUACAAAUGCCUUUUUAUAUUAAGUCUUGUCAUACAAAAGAAAAAUUGAUUGAUGGGCAUUUCCUUGGGAAAACAAAGCUGUAU